AGCGCAGGCGGGUUUGUAAGUCGGUGGUGAAAUCCUCAGGCUUAACCUGAGAACUGCCACCGAUACUGUAAAUCUUGAGUGUGGAAGAGGCCGAUGGAAUUCCUGGUGUAGCGGUGAAAUGCGUAGAUAUCAGGAAGAACACCGAUGGCGAAGGCAGUCGGCUGGUCCAUUACUGACGCUCAUGCUCGAAAGCGUGGGGAUCAAACAGGAUUAGAUACCCUGGUAGUCCACGCCCUAAACGAUGGAUGCUCGAUGUCGGCCCGCAAGGGUCGGUGUCUCAGCUAACGCUUUAAGCAUCCCACCUGGGAAGUACGAUCGCAAGGUUGAA
rnacentral:rRNA from 1 species